CUCAUGAACGUGAGAUCAUGACCUGAGCUGAAGUUGGACGCUCACCCGACUGAGCCACCCAGGCGCCCCUAUUAGUGUAGACCUUUGGACAGAAGUCAGUCUAAAUUUGCUAUCUCCAGAAUCUCCGUCACCUAUUUUCUUCAGUUUUCAAAGGAACAGUGAGUAACAAGAGUAGUUGAGAAAACAGUGUCAUGAAUACAGGGUGUGAUACUGCCUGAGAUUUUUUUAUUUUAUGAUCUUAUAUUUAAUACAGUCUUCUUAACUUUUCAUAAUACUUUAUCCAGAUCAGUGUUAUUUGGGAUUCUGUAAUUAUGCUGUGAUCUUGAAUUACAUCUAAUGUUGCAUCUGUCUUGAAGCUUAUUUUGUGGUGAUUUGUGUAUGCCAUGCAUUCGCUCAGUCACCUACCAUGUGCCAAAGACCAUGCUGUAUCUUGAGGUUAUAAUGGUGAGGAGGAAUAGACAAGGUCUCUGCUCUCGUGGAGCCUAAAGUUUGGUCACACAGACAACGGAUGUAUAACUAUAAACUGGUAAUUGCUGUCAAGGAAAGGAACAUGACCUUCACUGAGAGCUAAGGGAAGCCUUCUCUGAGAAAGUGAUAUUUGAGUUGGGCGUAAAGUGGAGGGGGCACUGGGAGAAGAUUCCAUUUUGGGGGAACAGCAUGGGAAAGGCCCUGUGGCAUGAAGAAUGGUGUAUUAGAAAAACUAAAGAAAGCAAAUAAUGUUGGCUGUGGAGGGUACAUGGAACAGUGGUGUUAGAUGAUUUAGAGAGGCGGGCAGGGAGCAGGCCUACAGCUGUAGUCUAAAUAACCAAUACAAAUGACCCCAGGACAUGACUAAUUCUAAAGUAUUUUCUAAGUACAGUUUGAAAUCAAUAAUGAAUAAUGUCGUAUACUACACUUACGUUUCUGACUAGAAAAACAUAGUCUAGUUUUGAUGUUCAUUAUUUCCACAAAGUUUCAAAGUAUUGUAGCUAAAACUUGAAUCUUAUAUUGAAGGGUUUUAUUAUCUCUCUUGUGAUUACAGUUCUCAAGUUUUGUGUUCAGUGUUGCUUGUUAAAUUGAUUUUUGGCUUUUAGAGCAUUAGUGAUCUUGAGACUUGUGUCAGUGGUAAAGGAAUUUGAGGGCUUCUUAACACACCAUGGCAAACAUAUAUACAUUAGGUUGUAAUAAAAAAUUUCAUACAAAUAAUCGAUAACUGAGGGCAUAUAGGACUGAGUGGAAAAUGGGGGUACCAACCACCUAAAGUAUAUAAAAAUAAAAAGUUAUUUUAAUAAUUUAUUUUUCUUGUGUGAUGUUUGCAAUGCAGUGAUAAUCAGAAAUGAAGACCGAGUAUCUCUUUAUAAGAGCUAAAGCAAAAAGCCAUUGAAAUCAUUGUUUGGCGAAGGGAGAGAAAAGAGCUUAUGAAUCUAGACAGAUUCGUAAACAUUUUUUACUCUGAGACACUUUGGAGGCCUUCAAGUAAUCAUUUUAAAUGAAGUAUUGCAAGCCAAUGUACUAUGCGUAAAUUAUAGGCAAGUGGUUUUGCUCAAAUUUCUGAAGCCUUCGGUAAAAUGAAUUUGUGAAAGCCUCAGACGCAAGGCCCAGAAAUAGAGGUUACAGUCUGAGAUUACUGGUCACAUUACUGUUCCCUUCCUCAUCUAGGAUAAUAGCACACUUAUGUGUAUAUACACACACAUAGACUGUGUUCAUAUGCUUUCCAUGAGAGAGAGGAAAAGCCCUUGUUGAACAUAAAAAUAACUUUUGAGGUUGUUUUUGCCACAUUCAAUCUAAAUUUCUCUUUUUCCAAUGGAAGCCGAAGGACUGGUGCAGCUGUCAGAAGAAAUGGUGAACAGGUGGUCACCAAAGAGUUCUUUAGAUGCUUAAUUAUAGUUACUAAAUUGCCUCUGUUUAUGGCUUUACCCUUUAUGGCACUUCAUCACAGGUCUUGUGGCUUUCUAAGUCCUUGCAACUCACUUCUCACAAAGCUGCAUUUAUAGGAUGUUUAGUGGUGGCUAACAACUUGAACACAGGAGAUGGUAAUUAAGAGGGAACUUGGGAAAAGAUGCCAAAUAAAUUGUUCACAUGAGCAAUUGUAUGGGCUAUUGUAUGGAAUACUGUGCUACUUUUUCCAUGUAUAAAUUUUAAAGGGCCCAACAACCCUACUAAAAUCAAAUUCAACUGCCUUAUUAGACUUUUAUAUUAUUGAUCUCAUGGCUAAUAGAGGUUUCAUAUAGCCAGACUCUAUUUGUAAUACUGUAACAGGUUUGUAUAUACCACACACUGUGUGUCUUUUGUGUAUCUGGCAUCUCGCUAGGCAUUUUACUUCGAUUAUUUGAAAUUGUUACAACAAAUUUUCAAGGUUGGUGUUACUGGUCCUGUUUGAGAUAUGUGGAAACUGAGCUCAGUGAGGUGUUGGUGAAUGUUUCACAACUGACUCCUUGGGUUAAAAAAAAAA